CCGAGAUCACAAAGGGUCUGAAUUUCAUCAUAGAAAGUCUCUUGCCUCCCGCAAACCAGCUUCAUCUGUUGGUAGGCUCUGCCACCCGGAAACGAUAAGGCGGCUAUGCCAUCGAAAGGACCUGAUACACUAACUAGCUAGAAAUUGAAAUGGCUAACCGACUCCAGAAUGAGUUGGUAUGUCUUAGUUGUAGUAUUCCUGCGCCUGCUCCCGCUUGCCCUCGACCAGAAGGUCUAGAGCACAUUGCUGGUGAAGUAAGAUGAUGAGCUCAGCGUGCUCGUUCAGCAUGUUAUCUGCGUGGCCUAUACCAGGAUGGGCACUCUUGUGGAUCAGGAGUCACUUGGCCACAUGUUCUGCAGUGUCAAGCCAGCGUCCGACCUUGAGCGGGGCGUCCAGGGUCGCGAGGUCAUUAUCAAACCUGAGUGGCAUCAGCAACCUGCAGCAGAUCAGAGGAAGCAAUUUAUUAGCUAGCUACUAGAACAUGGACAACAACAACCGACUGGUACAUCGCAAUCACAUUGCAUCACAUCGCACAGAUGAUGAUGACGACUUUAGGCAACUAGACACUUAGGGUCUGUUUGGAUAGGACCCUGGGUGAUUUGCCUGGGCAACGACCCCUGCCUGUGACUUGCCUGGAGUCCAUUUGGUUGCAGCCCUGGGAUUUUUGCCUGGAAGGACAUGCCUGUGCUUGGUUGCCUGGCUAUAAUCACAGCACGGCCCACCACUUUUCCCCUCCUGUGCUUACUUUCUUCUCCUCCUCUUGACUUUCCCCUUUCCUCUUGCUUGUAGCUAGGUUUUCCUGGAAGAGAAAAAUCAAGAUUUCUCCUUGAACAUGAAAGAUGUUUUAAAGGAGUUAAUCUAGUUUGCAGAUCUGGUGACUAGUGCUUCUUCCCCUCAUGAAUCGACCUCCAGCAGCGCAUCCAAGGUCUUUUCGUUGAGAGGCAAAGCCAAAUGACAGAGGAAUUCUCACUAAACCAAUUCAGUUCUUUGACAAGUUGAAAGAACUAUUUAGCGGCUGCUAAGCUGAUGGUUCCUUUAUGCAUGAUCCUUCCACUGCAGGAGAGUCUGAUAAUGAUGAUACUCAUAAUAUGGAUGAUGAUAUGUCCAACUAUGAUGAAUCUGAUGGUCCAAAAGGUGUGGACUCAGACAAGCUAGAGUCUGAUAGUGAUGAUUGUUAAGAGGUGGCUGCAGCUGCAAGUCAAGUUUCCUCAUCUAAUAUUGAGUCACUAAAGCUUAACAAGAAGAGUUUUAAAAAGGUUGGGAAGUCGAAGACGCUGCCUGCUUCAGCACAAUUGGCUAACAAGAAGUCAAAAGCAAAUGUUGUAUCAGCUGACAACAAUGAUGAUAUGGAUGUGGUGCUUACCAGCACUUUGAAGGGAAUCCAAAAGACCCUUGAAAACC